rnacentral:rRNA from 1 species
AUGGCGUUCAGCGGCACCCAGAUGCUCGCCGCCUUCACCCUGGGCAUUCUCCUCAUGGCCUUCUGUGUGGAGGCUCAGGCAUGCAUGUCCCGUAGCAAGUCGUACAAAGGCCCUUGCAAGAAACUGCGCUGCACCAAGGCUUGUCACAAAGAGCACUUCAAGGGUGGGUUUUGCACCAGUAAAAAGUCGAUCGUUGACGAUGAGCUCAAUGAAGACGACGGCGAGAACGGCUUUCAAAAACCGCCUAGGAAAAAGUUGUGCAUUUGUACAUCCUCAUGCAGCCAAGCCCCACCACCACCGUCGGAACCUCAUGUGCCGGAGCCGCCCGAAGUGCCAGUGCCUGGGCCACCGCCGAGGGCCGGCCAUAUUUAUUGA